rnacentral:rRNA from 1 species
UACGUAGGGUGCGAGCGUUAAUCGGAAUUACUGGGCGUAAAGAGCGCGCAGGCGGUCGAUCAAGUCGCGUGUGAAAGCCCCCGGCUCAACUGGGGAGGGUCACGCGAUACUGAUCGACUCGAAGGCAGGAGAGGGUAGUGGAAUUCCCGGUGUAGUGGUGAAAUGCGUAGAUAUCGGGAGGAACACCAGUGGCGAAGGCGACUACCUGGCCUGUUUCUUGACGCUGAGGCGCGAAAGCUAGGGGAGCAAACGGG